CCCCAGCAAAGCCGAAGGCAGUUCCUGCUUGGCGGCGACGCGAGUCCCGGAACGAGCGCUGGGGCACAGGAAAGGCCAGCAGACAGGAAAACUGAGGCGAUCAGAAAAGAAGGCCCUGUCGACCCAGCCCUCACCCUUGUUCUUCUGCGUCCGAGCAAUCUCCUUUUCGAUCUCCGAGAUCUUCUCCAAGAUCCCCAUGGCUGCGGGAAGGAUCUGCACACCUACGGCGACAGCACCGGUACCGGGAAUUCCGGUCUGACGGCGGCGGCAGCGUGCAGCCGGAAACCCACGGAGAACAGCGUCCUCGGGGACGCCGGUGCUUCGGGAUUCAGAGUCCGGUUUCUGCCUUGCUGUUUGCAGCCGCCAUGAACUGUGGCUCCACCAUGCCACCCUGCCUUGGAGCCAACUGAGUAUGGGCUGAAACCUCCAAAAACUGUAAGAAAUAAACCUUUCCUUUCCCAAC